ACCCACCCAUGCCGCAGACUUCUCAUGAAUCAGAGCUCUGUCCAUGGGCCUGCAGGAUGAAGUGAUCAGUGGAGCUUGGCCAUCCGUGAAAUGUUCAGACACUUGGGGCAGAGGGAUAUGACAAAACGAAUAAAGAAUGGAAACAGAUGGACUUUUUAUCUUGCACAGAAUGAAGACACACUUAAUUCUUUUUGUCCGUGAUGUAAUCCAAUAUUGAUCUAUAGCCAGAGAUUCUGAUGAUAAAUCCAUUCACUGAAUUAUUCAAGGUGUAAAAAUGGUCAAGAUUAAGAUCCCCCAUCAAAUCCACAAACUGUCUGCCUAGGAAGUGUAAAACUGUUCUUGUUCCUGAGUGUAUCAGUUUCCUUUCUCUCCCCCUGAUAUCAUAAUUGUUUUUAAUGUUUUCCCUCACUAUUCUAUGGAAAAACAUCAUCCACAAAGCCAGACACAGUCAGCAUAUGAAUGCCAGAAAUAUACAGGCUGGGUGUGACCUCAAUGAUCAGUUAAACAAGGUCAGAUGGAGGUUGGUAAAUCAGUCGUAUGUGCAAGAGGCUCCAUAGGGAUGAUUCCUGUGUCUUGCUAGCAGCUGCUAACAGUAACUGCAAUAAUGCUCUCUUAUGCCUGCGUGGUGUUCCCAGAUAGCCAUUUAGCAUUAUAACAACAACUUUGAUCUGAUUAAUGCGGCGCUGCAACGAUUUCAAUAGGAAGCAGUAGUAGCAUGCCUUGGAGUAUAUUAACCUAACAUUAAGCAGCUACAGAUGGCCUUUUUGUGCUGGAGGGAAGAAAAUGUAACUUUGUAUUGCUGAAUCCUCUUGGAAUCACAUAUCGUGGGCAGUAUCACCCCUAAGCAUAAAAAUCACAUGCUUCCUACAUUAUUGUGUUUUUGUAUUUGGGGAUCUUCAUCAUUUGAGAACAGAACAUUAAUCAGCCAAGCUUUUUUCCUGUGAAGAUAAUCCAUAUGACACUACAUGGCAAGGUGUUAAAACAGUGAGGCCAGGCCUCCAAGCCAAAU